GCCGGCUCGGUUUGACCCAAAAGAGUCACAGUCAUUUAGGUCGGAAAAGACCUUUGAGAUCAUCGAGUCCAGUCUAUGACUAAACACAACUACGUCAAUUAGACCAUGUCACUGAGUACCACGUCCAGUCUUCUCCUUAAACACCUCCAGAGACGGACCUGUGCUCCAGACCCUCCACCAGCUUCGCUGCCCUUCUCUGGAUUCGCUCCAGCACCUCAAUGUCUUCCCUGGACGAGACACAGGAUUUGAGUGAGGUGUGGCCUCACCAGAGCCGAGUGCAGGGAUUGUAUCAGAACUGCACCAAUAUUCAUCCUGCACUAGAAGCUGGCAGACUGAGAGCUAUUUGAUACCAUCCACACAAUGAAAGAAUAAACAGAAAAAAAUACUGCCAAACGUGAAGGAAUCCUGUUUUACAGCUAACACUUAAAUUAGCCAGUUCAUGGUAUUUCUAGGAUUAAACAGGAAUGGGUUUUAAUAUAGAUUCUUGACAUUUGUAUCUGGUCCUAAAAGCACAUGAACAAACCCAAGAAGA